UUGGAUGGCACCAUUUCUGCUCUCAAACAGUUUAAAAGAUCCCUGUGCAGAAAAAGACGUAUUUAGAACAUUUUGGUUGGUAAGGUGAUAUGUAACAAACUUGAGAUCUUAUAGGAUAGGAGAACACUAGGACACUAAUUAGGAACUGGUCCCAGGAACAAAGACCUUCUGGACUCAUCUGACAAGAUAAGAAUCAUCAAGCAUUCUUCCAGCAGAAAGUGACAAAGCCCUCCUUGAGCUGCUCAUGAGAAUUCACAAAUUUUUCAGAUAAAAGAUGCCUAUUUUAUUCUGGCUGAAAGCAUGAACAGAAUAAACAAUGAGCUCUGUGAAGAAUGUUCUAUGAACCCGAAUCAAACUCAAACUCCUGUGUCACUCCGGUACGCCUGAUCACUGGAUAUAACCACGUAUUGGUCCAGAACCUCCCUCUCUGUUACUACUCCCUUUGGAUUUAUCCAGUAGUCUUAGACGUCACCAGGGCCAAGCCAUGCAUAUAUAGAUUGAAAUGUUGUUUUCAAAACCUACUCAAGCUAUCUCUUGAUGAACAAGAUUAGUACCAUCUGAUUACAACCCUGAAGGCAUGUAUAGGCAAAAAGGAAAGUCCAAAGAGAGGAAAAGAAAGCAGGAGAGAUCUGAAAUGACACAAGAAGUGACUCAGAAUGGGAAGAUUGUGCACUCCUUGUUGUCCCCUAAUGCACAUGGAAGUAUGCAACAGAAGCUGUGAAAAUAACCCAGAGAGAAAGAAAAAAAUGAUGUAAAUUUAAACAUAGCAUAUUCUGGAAACAGUAUGCUUAUGGAACAGCCAGAGAGAUUUUCAAAACUUGAUCAUCUAAAUGCAGAGAACAGUUUCAAGGCUCUUUCUCACUUUCUCAUUUGAUUCCUGCAAUUGAAGCCAUCUGCUAUGCUGUGUCCUGUUCUUUGGAUCAGCACAUAUGACAAGGAAGUGAAAGUAGUCUCUGUCCAACAAUCAGUCUAACAGCCUGAGAAGAACUGAAUUCUGUCAAUGACCACGUAAGCUUCGAAGCAGACCUUUCGCUUGUUGAGCCUUCAGAUAGACAGCAGCCCUAGCUGACAUCUUAACUGCAGUCUUGUGACAGGUCCUCAGACAGGAUAAGCCAAAUUAUACCCAGACUGCUGAUCCACAGAAAAUGAGAGGAAACUCCAGGAUUCUAAAAGUAAAGCCCUAUGGAAAUAAAUCAAUAACAUUUCAAAUGAAGAACCAAAAUCGGGAAAUGCAAAUCACAACUCUAACAUCAACAUUAACUUAUAGCCAGACAAUUAUGCAUUUCUUUAGUCAACAACUAGCUGCUAAUUAUUUACUAUGUGUCAAGUCUUAUAAUGCUGAAGUGAAGAAAAGAGAUUUAAAGUCAUGGAUGUGGUUUCCUUUGGACCUUAAAUUCUAGCACAAAAUAUGAUAAACAUUGUAAUCAAUGCUAUCAUGUACAGGUAUGUGGUGUUAUGUGAAUAUAUGGGAAUACCUAAUUCGUAAACUGGGUUUAGAAAAUUCUUGCAGAAGAAAGUGGCAUCCAAACAAAGAACCAAGAACGAAUAAAAAUUAUUAUAGAUAAAGUGAAGCGGGUCUAGUGGAAUGACAAAAUUACUGAGUGUCAAGAGGUGGAAGGACUUGGUGAAUAAUUUGAAAAGGAACCAUCGGAGGAUGAUGGCCACAUUUCUGGCUCCAGCCAUCAGUAUGAACUUAUGGUUGAAGGCAUUCUCAGGGGUUAACAAGAAUUCUGGACAGAAAUAUGGCUAUAAUGACAUGGAGGCCAGCUUAUACAGAUGGCAAAAUCACAAGAUUGAAAGAUACUGAAUCAUUGAGUCACUACCUUGUAGAGACCUAUUCAGGAAAACAGGCUGGCAUCAGACCAACCAGUUUGAGUAUGAAACUUCAAAUAGCCA
rnacentral:lncRNA from 1 species